AGUCACUGACAUUAGAUACCCGGGUAGUCCCAGCCGUAAACAAUGUGCGUUAGGUGUGUCGGUAACCACGCGUUACUGAUGCGCCGAAGAGAGAUCGUGAAACGCACCACCUGGGAAGUACGGUCGCAAGGCUGAAACUUAAAGGAAUUGGCGGGGAGCACCACAACAGGUGGAGCCUGCGGUUUAAUUGGAUUCAACGCCGGACAUCUCACCGGAUAAGACAGCUGAAUGAUUGUCAAUCUGAAGGUUUUACAUGACUAGCUG
rnacentral:rRNA from 1 species